CAACUCUGGACUCCUUCCCACCAUAAACCACACAGCUCCCCAUGGCACUGUUAAGUGUUACUGACUGAAUAGACCUCUGCAUGGACACUGGAAGGGACUCCCUCCUGGGUUAGUGCUGGAUGGCUCCUUAUACUAUACCCAUCACCAUGAUAUCCAGUGCCAAAUCCCUCUGGGAGAAAACAUCCACCACUGAAAUGCAGCCACCUCUGGAGUGGAGCAUGGCAGCAGUUUUAUCGGGCAUGCCAAGACUACACAAGAGUUUAGGACAGAAGUAAAGAGCACUGUACCCAACUGAAUCUGCAGCUCACACUCCACGCUGCUGCUUUGAACCGGAGAUGAAGAAAGAGUCCGAAAGAUUCAAUCUCAGAAGGCCCACAGCCCAUCUGAAUGGAGAAACGUGGCUCUCCAAUCUGGAGAAUGGCCAGACUGCAGCUCUCAUGGAUUCCCCGAGUGAGGGCUCAUCCCACAUAGACCCUGCCCCUGGCUCCUGCAGCUUCCCCCUACAGCUUUGUAGGGUAAGAGCUAGGGGCCCUUAUGUUCUGCAGACUUGCCUAUCCAUGGGCUAUUUCCUGGCAUUGCAUUGGGAGCAUCUCCAGAACUUAACAGCUCCAUCUUACCAGUUCUUGCCCAUCAGCUUUUCGGCUGCAGGAAAUCAAAGGGGGGGGAAGGGAGAGAAUACCACUGCCCACACCUGGGAGGUAUGGGUGGGCUGUGACAGGAAAGCCUCUUUCCCUGCAAUCCACAUCAGAAGUGUGGGGACACUUGUGGAGUCAGGUGGAGGGAAGAGUUCAGAGCCACCAAACCCACUGCAAAAGCCACACAGCUACCGGCAGCUUUUUACUCCAUGAUUUACUACGACUGCGUGCUGCUCCUUCCCAGAGCAGGCGGAAUCUGUCUGCACACAAAGCGAACUGCCUCUGGAAUGCGGCUGCUGCCACGCUAAGAAUGGGGCUCCCUGAGGAGCCGGCUUUGCUGAGUUAUGCCAAGCCAGCUGCACUGAGAAGCUACAGCCGGGAAAGUAAUUUCCCAGGUGGCUUUACAGUGCAGUGGAGAUCAGGGUGCCUGCAUCACACCGUUGUUACAAGGCCCUAAUGGAGAGAUUUACAGGAGAAGUUGCUUGGGCAGCUCCCUGGUUCAUUAAGUACCAUA